UAGGGAAUCUUCCACAAUGGACGCAAGUCUGAUGGAGCAACGCCGCGUGAGUGAAGAAGGUUUUCGGAUCGUAAAGCUCUGUUGUUGGUGAAGAAGGAUAGAGGUAGUAACUGGCCUUUAUUUGACGGUAAUCAACCAGAAAGUCACGGCUAACUACGUGCCAGCAGCCGCGGUAAUACGUAGGUGGCAAGCGUUGUCCGGAUUUAUUGGGCGUAAAGCGAGCGCAGGCGGAAGAAUAAGUCUGAUGUGAAAGCCCUCGGCUUAACCGAGGAAUUGCAUCGGAAACUGUUUUCUUGAGUGCAGAAGAGGAGAGUGGAACUCCAUGUGUAGCGGUGGAAUGCGUAGAUAUAUGGAAGAACACCAGUGGCGAAGGCGGCUCUCUGGUCUGCAACUGACGCUGAGGCUCGAAAGCAUGGGUAGCGAACAGGAUUAGAUACCCUGGUAGUCCAUGCCGUAAACGAUGAGUGCUAAGUGUUGGGAGGUUUCCGCCUCUCAGUGCUGCAGCUAACGCAUUAAGCACUCCGCCUGGGGGAGUACGACCGCAAGGUUGAAACUCUAAA
rnacentral:rRNA from 1 species